ensembl:lncRNA
GUCACAUGAUGGACAUGAUAUAAUGAAACAACAUUGUGGAGAGGAAAGCAUUAGGGGAGCCCACGGCUACAAAAACAAGUGAGUGAGAAGAGGUGGGAGGAAGAGAAACUACGCCACCUCCCCUGCAGCCGAGCUGCACGCAGCAGCAGCCCGCGGGAAGUGGGCGACGCCGGGGGGGAAGGGAGACCCGGUCCCCAGCCCCGGCCCGGGGACCCCGCUGCCCACCGCCAAGAGAACAACUUUUAGCCGGCAGCCUCGGCCAGCACUGCACCUGUCUCCGGAGCCUCCAUCGCUCCUCGUGAUGAUCAAAGGGGCAUUCUAGAAGAAUAUGUUCUACAAAUAUACAUGCGCAUCAUUUCCCCCCUUGCGUCUCGCUCCGGAGGAAGGAGAGAGAAAGGGAUUUAAGCAGCAGCGUGUGUUCAGCCCCAAGGGUGAAAAGAGUUGGGAUAUUUUAUCAUCUGGAGUUUCUCUGCCUCGCUGAUGAUCUAAGCUCAAACCUGCCAGUUUAUGGGAGAUGAUAGAAAACACCCUCUAACAUCUGAGUUGCAGAAAUAUGUGCCUCUAAGAACUCAGGAGGACCUACUUUGUGGGAGCAAAGGUAGUGAGUCAUACCUGCAAGCUUGGAAACGAGAGUUCACUUGUGCCUCUUCAUCCAGUCGGGACAUUUCCUCGGCAACCAUUUAUGCAGCAAUUAAAAGAUGAGGAGUUAAGAGGAGAAAAUGGAAAAAACGGAGGUACUUUUAAUGGAACAGAAUAAACCACUGAACAGGGAAGGAAGAAAGGAUGGAGUUUGAACUGAUUUGCUGGGAAUCGUGUUCAGAAUGGAUCCAGGAUAUUGAAGUGUAAAAGAGUGCCUUGAUUUUCCCACUGAGAAAAAUGAGGAGGCUGCGAUAUACCUGUGGACAGGAUCAGUAGCUUCACUUCUCAGCGCAGAACUUGCCAUGUCUCUUUCCGGCUCGGGAAGUAUGAUGCUCCGCACAGGUUGGUGGGGGACAGAGACGGCAGCGGUAAUAAGGGAUGGGGGCCCACGCGCUGGGGACUAAGUAGCCCAGAGUGAGCCUCCCGAAGUCUCGACCCCAUUUCAGUUUCCCUCGACUAAGAUAAGCUACCAGGGCUCGGCUCAUUGGAGGCUUACUUGAACCUCAGGGUAUAGCUGUAAGGCGGCAUGUGGUGAAAAAAGAAUCCUAGCCUGGGAAAGUCAGAGAGCUUGGGUCCAGUUUCAGCUGUCAGUCAACUAUCUGUAUAACAUAGGAAAGUCUCUUAGCUUCUCUAAUUUCCUGAUUUAUAGAAUAAAUCUGAGAUUUAGUCUCAAUAAGUUAUGGUCUCGGCAAGCGGCAGAGCUAGGUUGUGCUAUGACUUUUUUGGGGAACAUUUCUUGGUAACUAGUUCAUCUUUCCUUAUUAAUCCAGUCAGCCAGUAUGAUACCAAGUUUAGGAAGAAUAUCACAGUAUCACGUAAUACUCUACCUUGGGGCGUUUCUGCUUCUUACCAUUCCGGACCGUUCCUAGUCUAUUUCAACCUUCCCUUCUGAGAGUCUUCUGUCUUCCCUAAUAAUUUCUUCUCCAGCUACCUCUUGUGUUUAAGAAUUUAAAAAGAUGAGCCUAGUAAUCAGGAAACACUCAGAACUGAUGUUUGUCACCGACCUUGCCCUGCCACUUGCCUGGGGUAUGAUGUUUUUUAAAAAGCUGAAAUAAAGAUAUGAAAAGCAUUUUGAAAAAUGUGAAGCAUUAGGUGAUAAAAGUAAUAGUUAUGAGGUACAAAUACCUGCUGUCAACCAUGUUAAUUGUUUUUAUUGGUAUUAACAAACUAUUUAUUAACAAAUUAAUAACAGAAAUUGCAUUGAGAAACAAAACAGUCACAGGCCAAACCUUUUGAAUUUCAAAUAUGUUUAUGUUAACAUACUCUGUUUUAGACAACCAGCACAGAGACUAUGGUCAAGUAGUUUUUAUAUGAUGAAGUCAUGUAUCAGUCAAUCCAUUACACUUUUUAAGGUGUUUUAAUGUUUAUCUCCCACUUUUUGGUUUCCAGAGUGAAAUAACCUCAGAUGAAAAUUUCUAUGGUGUUGAUGUUUUCCUCUUGAGAAUGUGUUUGCUGUAAUAAAAUACAGUAACCACUUGAAGACUAUAAAACUUGUGUGAAGUCUGGAUAAACCUAAACAGUUUUUUCUUUGUGCUCCAGGAGCACACAGCACUAUAUAUUAAAUAAAGCACAAAUAUCUAUACAUAGCUGCAACUAUGUUUCGUUUCAUUACAACUAUGUCUUGCCUGAUCUUCAAAUAACAUGAAAAAUCAUCUUUAAAAUAAACCUUGAAUGGUUAUGAUCUUCAUAGAAACAGUUUCUUUAUUAAUUAAACUUUUGUUUUUCAUAGUGCAUUGCUUUGAUCUCGUAAUAUUUUUUAAAACAUCCUGAGGGUUUAUUUUCAAGGCUUCCAAAUGAAUUUUUUUUUCUUAAAAGCCGUAAUAUAUUCAUGGCUCAGUGAAUCCCAAAGACAGUAUUUUUAAACUCCUGUUAAGUUUAUUUUUCUUAGCAUGCUAGUCUACUGCAUAAUUUUCUUCGCUCUACGGGUCACGUGAUUCCUCCCGUCCGUAACACACGCACUUAAAAAUUUCACUUCCUGAUUGAGCCAUCAAGAUUAUGUAAAAUGUAAAUCUGUCUAAAUACCUAAGAGCAGGAAUUUUAAGGGAAAAAUGCUGUUUUCUUUUUCUGUUUCAUUAUUGAUGCCUAGAAAAUCAGAGUGUGUGUGUUUGCCUAUUUGUAUUUGGAAACUAGAGACUGUUAGGGUGGUUUUUUGUUUUUGUUUUUGUUUUUUUUCUUUUGUCCCUUCCCUUUCAGAUUGCAUCAGAGUUUGCUUUCAUUAUAAAAAUGAAGUACCAGGCAGAUAGAACGUAGCAGUGGUGUAGUUGCAGGGCUGAAAUCAAAAGGGUUCCGAUUACUGGGAGAGCUGUUCAUUUACUUACUCUUUUCAUGAUCUGAAUGGAGAGUACGGCAUCUCUCGAAAGGUAACGAUUUGAUAUUUCAGAGUUGUAAAUGGCCAUUUAACCCUUCUGCUGCCUGAUAUAAAUGAAAGUAAUUUCUAGCAGGCUGGAUGACACUUGGUUUAUCAUGAAUCCAAAAAUCCCUCACAUUUUCUCAAAGCAAUUUUGAAGUUGUCAUAGUAACGGCAUGAUAUUUGGAGGGUCUUUUUAGUAGUUCUUUAGCUAGAGUUAAUUAAUUUUAUUAACCCUGGACGCUUUUCUUUUUAUUCUUCUCUGACCAACAAGGGCCAUAAUUGCUCAAGUAUGUAUUUGGUGUUUUUUAUUUCUUGGUGACUAUAGUUUGAGGACUUGAUGUUUUGCAGAUUGUUUCAGGAAAGGAACGGGAAUGUUAGCAGUUGAUUUCAGAUCGUUUGAACUUGGGUUUUUAAAUACUUCUCUGUAAAAUUGCACUACCAUCGUAGGACCAGAAUUUAGUUUUAUUUAAAGAGAUGGGUUAUGGGAGAUGCUCGCUCAAAUUUUACUGUGACUUACACAAUUAAAUUGUGUUGCAACUAUCCUCUUUUUUUUUUUUUUUUUUUUUUUAAUUCUGCUAGAUCCAGAGUAAGAAUUGAAGAACACAGAAGGGAAGUGUCAGACUUACAGGAGAAAAUUAUCUCUUAAAAAAUGUAACAGUCAGAUACAAUACCAAAAUCGUGUUCCACAAAAGAAAAAGAAAUGGACAAAUCUGACUUUAUCAAAAUUGAAAGUGCAGCAACAGUGCUCUUUGAAACUCUAAAAUACGCUAAAAUAAAUUAUCCUCUAGGAAAGUUUGUGGGAAUUUUUUUUAUUGGGAGAAAGUAGGUCAGGAUCCUCUGUUAGUAAAGCUCUGUGGCAGAAAUUCUUGCCAAUAUGGCGAUCGGUGAGGAAAGAAGCCCCUCUCUUGGGCAAGGAGAGGGUCAGAAGAAAGAAUGGUCUGUACCAGGUCUGGAUGCUGGGACUUGAAAAAGUAUCAGAUGUUGGAUGCUUUUGUUUUCUUGUAAAAGUGAUCAGAGAGAUGUGACACUUACAAAAGGUAUCAUGUGAGUUCUGUGGGCUUAAUGCUAAUGCCAGUAUCCCUAGUGUUGUGUGGAGUAUUUGUUCAACCAGAGGUGGUUCAAGACAGUCAGGGUAGCAACAUGUGCAGCCAACAGCAGUAAAGGUGCUAAUACAUGUCCAGUGAUGUCAGGAGUUACGAGACAGCAGUUUCAAAACACUGCAGUAAACAAGGUCAUAGUGUCCCGUUUUGCUGGAAGAAGGUUUGUUUUUAUGAGCUGGACAGUACAUGGAUGAAGUAAUUUUUCAAAACAAACAUCAAAUUUAUAGGUUGGGUUUUUCUUCCUACUUUUUGGAUUUAAAAAAAAAUUAACCAGAUGAGAUUUAGUAAGGGUUACAUUUUUAAGCAGAAUUAUACUUUUUCCCUGUUUUGGUUUUUUUAAAUUGAUUCUCCGUAGUUUCCACAGAGGAAAUGAAAAUACUGCUGAUCCAGGAUUCUUAAAUGCAGUUUUAGAGAGCAAAUGCCAAUCACCAUCACCAGUAAAACACUCCUUCUAAUUUUGUACCUUUCGCACUUACUUAGACAGGCAUCUACGUGCGAGAAAGUUAAUGGCGCAGAAUGCUGCUGACUGCAUGGUUCUCGUCUUAAUACAUUUUCCAACCUUGAACCUGAGAAUGCCAGAGGCUCAAGUCUCUGAAUGCUCGUCUGAGCCGUUAUCUGCUGGUGGCCUGGUUCCUGACCUAACAAGUGGGUGUCCCAGGCGUGCGUGUGGUAAUAGCAGCAGUGGUGCCACGUGGCGCCCAGAGGUCGCCUUGGUCUGCCCUGGAGAUUCCUGGUCCUUGGUGAAGCUUCUGAGUUGAACUGUGAACUUGGGGCAUCCUGAGAAGCGCAGGCAUUUUGGAGUUCCACAGCAAACCUGGAUGUUAAGUGUAAACACAGCUUAUAAAGUGAAAGCAGGGGCCUUGAGGAAGGGAAUUACCCUCAUCUCCUUCCGGACCUGCUUACUGUGCUGGAAAACAAAGUAAGUUUUGUUUGUUUUUAGUCAGUCUCUCCUACAUGUUUUUCUUGCUAACAUUAUUAAACACUCAGUAUCUGGCAAAUGCCAAGGUUUUUUUUUUUUUUUCCUUUUCAUUGGGAAGUAGGAGAUGAAGUUUGUUGAAUAGCUGAUUGCUUCUUUUAUCUUUUCUGUCUCUUCCUGUAUCUAGCUGCUGGCUGGCUUGUUAAGAGGUAAAAAGAGACUGAAAUUUAUCAUCAAUGAGAAAACAAAAAGUUCUCUUUUUUUCUCUUUUUAAAUGGUUCAAGAACUUUGCCAUUAAUUAAAUGACGGUGGGUGACACAGACAAGGCUUUUUAUGAGCUGCAGCCAGGAGCAUAUCUAGCAAAACAGCCCCAGUUCACUGCCCUUAUUUCCAUUGGGAAGCAGGAAGGGUGCGUGUAAAAGACAGGUACGAGGACGGGGGUGUCUGCACGUGGGAACUGCAGACACUAGGUGGGAAUGGCUGUUGGAUAAAAUGCUGUAAUUUUAAAGCCUGUCAGGAAAUGGAAAGGACCUGAAGAAUACAAGUUAUUUAAUGAUGUUGGGAAAAUAAAUUAAUAUAAAAAUGGGAUAAAAUGUAUAAAGUCCUAACCGAAUUUUCCCUUCAUGUUAGAAAGUUCCGUGCCUUGUAGAUUUAUAGAAAAUAUGUUUAAUAACUUUAAAAAAUAAUAAUUAAGAGGCUUCAUCUCCUACACAGAAGAUUCUGUGACACCAGCCUGAUUCUGACACUUGGCCCAUCUUACAUUUUUGUUUGUUUGUUUUUUAUGCUGAUCCUGUCUCCAGAGAUGUUACACGGCUUGAUAAAUUUUUAAUACAAAGCUCUGUGGUUUUGAAAAUGCAAAACGAAUAGAAAUGCAGAGUGGUUUGUGAUUUGUAAUUAAAAUUAUCCUCAUAAAAGGGACUGCUUUUACCGGAGAAUUUUCUUGACUUCUCUGAACUUAAACAGUGACACUUUGAAGGUAGAAGGGGGCAGCAUGUCUGUAGUGUGGCGUUGGAAAGCAGAAGUCAGGGGUCUUAGCUUCUAACUCUAGUGUGGAAUACAGUGUGAAUUUAAGUUCGGGCUUCUGUGCCGUGGGAGUUCCCUUUUUAUCUCAAAGUGGUGAUGGUAGGACUUGAGGUGUCUGUAUUUCAUUUGAAACACUCCAGGCUCCCUAUGUGAAUGUCUGUGAAUUAUUAAUUCAGCAAACAUCUUUAAGUACCUUCUUUCUGAAGGUACUUUCAGUGUUGUGCUCAGAGCUAUAGUUUUUCACAAUUAAAUUUACAGAGAUUUGGUUUAUAAAUCAAAGAUUGCGAACAGUUUGAAACAAGGCUGAAUGAGCAGAGCAUUACCAUCGAAACGGUUUGUUAAAGAUGGUGCCAAGUGAGCAGGGCUGUCCCCUCUGAGCUGCCCCUCCUAAUUAAAGGGGAAGGUGGCUGCCAUCUGUCUUCUUUCAUUCAAGGCAGUAGGGGGUCUGGGGUGGAAGGAAGCAACCCCCCCUCUUAUUUUUCUCCCACUCUUUUUUAUAGUCGGCUUUCUCCCUAGUCAGUGACCCAGAAGGUCAUUGAUGAUCUGUCUAUCUCAGAAUGAAUAGUAACAUAAGCAUGCAAGGCACUUGC